GCUUCUCGAUGUAGUCCUGGAAACCCUGCACUCCCAUGGAAACGCUUGCCUGAACGGCCAGUGUGCUCUUACAAACCUCACAGCCUGUACAGAGGAGCAGCCCUGAGCUGAUGCCAGCUAAGCGCUGGUCUCCUAAGAGGUGGAAGCGAGCCACAGCAUGGAACUGCGCAGGAGGCCGCACAGAACGCUCUUACUUCUACGAUCGUCGUGGGUUUUGGCUAUUCAGGGCGGCAACCUUGCUUUUGGAGCUCAAGUUAUUUAUAUUCUGGACUGCUGCCCUUUCAGUGAUGUAAAUGGACUUGAAUAAGCAGAUUCAAACCAGCGCACUCAGGGUUCGUAGCGGCUGCCCCGGGUCCACUGGGCUCUCCUGUCCCCGCGGCUGGGCUGGAUUCGGCACCCAGGUUCAGAAGUGGGAUUGUUCUCAGGGAGAAUACUCAAAACCGGCUCUUUUGAUGUCACGUUCACAGAAACAGACACCACGUGAUGCAAGUUCAUAUAGAACGAACGGAAUUAGGACAGACGUUCGAAGACUUCUCGCAACAAAUUGCUCACAAAUGAUUUAUGGCGAGAAUUACUUGCAGAGUGAUUACGGCACAUGUUUUUGGGAAAAAAAUAAAUUCAAGAAAAUCAAUCUGCUUGUGGACAAAUAAUGAAAAGAGGAAGAGGAAAAAUUCUUCUAACAAAUAUGAAACUGCAAAUUAUUCUCUCAGCUUACUUGGCAACAACCAAUUUUUAUGGUAGUAGAAACUUGUGGAGUAGGAGGUAACUGUAUGAAGAAUGAUUGAUUCAGUAUCUUAUAUUGCAAUCCUGGAAGGGGUUCAACAUCUUAUUUAAAAGCCAUUUUCUUCCUUUUACCCAGUAAAGGAAACAAAAUGAUAGUCAAUGUCUGUGAGCUGGUUUGGGCAGAUAGAAUCUAUGUUGUGUCUCUGCAGUCCUGUGGUCACUGACAACAUAGGAAAGAGCAGCUAUUUAUUACGAAAGAUCUUUCUUGCCAGAAAAAAAAAAACCCCAAAACCUGCCUGAGGAAGGAUAUUGCCAUCAUAAUCCUCUUUGCAUCUUCCCAUUAGAGAGUAAAGGAUUUGCCCUUCCAGAAGAGACACGUCAUUGGUCUUAAACUCAGUGUAUCUUUUCAGCCUUGGAGUUGUGGAGUCUUGUGUAAACUGCAUCUCCACCGGCCUGUCUUUCAGUCCACAGUCAUAAAAUGGUCGAUAAUUUACUUUCCUCUUGGAAGAAUACAAAGCACACGUUGGGCACCUCUCUCCUGAGACCACCUUUUGUCUCUUCUCCCCCACGCCCUGGGAGGAAGCCAGCCGCCUUCUGGGCGAGAGCCUCUGGGACGCCGCACCGGGACGCCAGCAGAGUUGUCUCCUGCUCAGAGAAGAAGCUACCAGGACUGAUACACCUCCACGUCCACUGAAGGGAACAAUCUAAAAAAGGGGUAUUUUUGCAAGAAUGUUCUAGGCAACCUUUUCUACAAAGGAAGGACGUGCUGCAGAAGAUGAUGCUCAGGAACUAUUUCGUCAGCCCAUUAGGAACAGGGUAUUUUCCAUUUGGCCAUGCACCGUGCCCAGUGUGUUUAGUCAGAAACAGAGGGUGCAGUCCCCUGACAGAGGUGAAGCUGCCGUGCCGCGCCAACGAGCGGGAGUGCAGACUGCACCCCGUGGUGUGCACUGAGGUAUCCCACAGUUCAGAAAAAUCAUAAUUUUACACACCCGUAAAGCGAUCUGUGCAGACCGUGGGGUACCGCUGUGUGUUUGGGUAACGCAAGAACCCAGGGCUGGAAGGGCGACCGGGGUUACGGAGCUGAGGCCCCACCAUCUGGACGCCACUGGGCAAUAGAUGUCUUGGGCAAAACGGUACGAAGGAUAUCUGCUUACGUGCCGCAGGCGUGACGGCACCGUAGCCUGCAGCAGAAGACCAAGCUCGUGCCUGUGACAUGCACCAAGAAAAGUUUGAAGUCAUCGGUAGCAUCGGUUCCUGAUGCAUACUCGCUUCCUGAUGCAAAUUUGUUUAAAGAAAGUUGCUGGUGGUCUUUAGGAGGUGAACCACGUCCCCUGCUGCACAGGACAAGGAUGCCAGCUCUCAGUAGUCUCUGCUGCCUUGACUGAGGGAGGAGUUCCCAUCCGAACCUGAACUUGUGAGCAGCCUUACUGUGAGAACACCAGCCAGACCCCCGAGAUUUUAAUGCUGCUUAGCAAAUCUCACCUACAUCCUGUUUCUGGCUGUGACAAGUCUUCAGUGGUUGAGAGGAUGGGAGGGAAAAAACAACCACCCAAACCCCCACAAAUUACCUGAUAUACCAACAGGAAUUCUUUUUAUAUCCCCACGGAUAACCAGCAGAAACCCUAGGACUCAUACACAAGAAAUCUAGCUGGGGGAAAGCAGCAAUCCCUUCUCUUUGCAACUACAGGAGCCCACCAAAUCCCUGAGGACUCACCAAAAAAAGCUAUUGUCUGUCUUCAGGAAUUUCUACUUAGUUGCACAGUCCUUCCACGAGCUUCUCAGACCACCUCUGCAAUCACAGGGUGCUCCAGAAUUCCGCUCCUCGUGUUACUGUUAACUGUCUUCUGAUUUCCAGUCUGCAUUUCUUCAUGACUAAUUGAUACCCAUUUGAUCCCAGGCUAACAUUAACCUUUAACUCAGGGAGUUCUUCCUGCUUGGUAUUUACCCCAAGGGUAUUUAUAAAUAGCUGUCUUCUGUCACGCUUAGUUUAGUGGGGCUAAAAAUGAUAAACUGAUGUUUAUCGGUCAUGGAAAUCCUUCCUGCACAAGAAUGAAUGUGUCUCUUCGUCUGGUAGAUUAACCCAAAAUAGGUCCUAAGUUUGCAAAUCCACAGUAUUCUCAGUUUCAUGUAAAAGUUGCUUAUUUUUUGUUUGCAGUUAAAGUUACCAGGUAUUGGGGGACAAGUCCUCGUCAUUUAUUGAGUCAAGAUACCACUCUCUGCUGCCUUUUCCAGUUCCGGUCUUGCUCGGCCGUGCUGCUCUCAUUGCUGACGGCUCUGCUGGCGAUGCCGAGCAAGCCAGAAAGGUCCGUGCAGGGACCGUCAGACACCUCUGCUGAGCAGCACAGGCAAAGCAACCCCAUCACCCGCUGCAAUGCUCUUCCCGGCCAGGCUCUUCUGGCCUGCUGAGCACCGGGACCGUGGUGACCACGUGCACCGGGAAGGGAAGAUGUUGGGUUCAACAGUGCUGGUAUUUGACAAGCCUGGUAACGCUUGGAGUCCAAGUUGUUUUCCUGCACUAAGAUCUCUUGGGCUGGUCAGAGAUCAACUGGCAGCCUCAAAAAUACAUAGAACAGCUUUGAAAUGAUCGGGGAUCUCCAGCACAGGAGCAAAGCGUUGCUGACAGCAGCACAUUUUUGGAAAGCACCUUGUUCGUGAGGUUGGCUCAGCCUUAUCUGAACGUUAGGUGUGCGUUGUGUAAGUGUCCCCUCAGUGGCAAAGAAUUAUUAAUUGUCCUAAUUGUAAUCUCCCUCUGCAAAACCAUCUCUACCUCUUUGCUACAAGAUUAUUACUUUUAUAAAAAAAAGCUUAUCAUGUCAGAAUUCAACUUGCAAAGAGCAGAGCCUUUGGGAGAACUGCCAUCGGUUUUGGUUAAUUUGUGGUGUUUGCUGACUGCUGUUUGCGCCCUGCCUUCCCUGUGCAGGCUGUUACCUUCACUCCCUGCCUCGCCGUCCUCCUCCCGCCUUCUUGCUAUUCCUUCAGGGACACCCAGCCAUCUCACGGAGAUGUCGCUACGGAUCACUUCGUAUUCCUGCAUGUUUCAAGCUCUGCUGAGCAGGACACGGCCUCCUGCGCCGGGUGGUUCCCUCCUCCAGCCCUCCCUCUCCCCCCGGUCCCAAGUCUCAGGCACGUACCGUACUGUACCGUACGAUGACAGACCUGGGACAUCUGGAAAGGCGAGAGCUCCAGCUGAUGUGUUGAGCACCCUAACAGUCCCCAGGCAGGGGCUGGAGAACAUCUCCCACCCAUACGUGCUGGGGUUCUAUCUGGGUCCUCCAUAUUGUUGACACCCCACAAGUAUUCUGGCAAGUUUAACAGUAAAAAUAUUUGCUAAGAAAGCAACCAAAGCAAUUAUUCCUGCAUGUUUGUGGAGCGGCAAAGAGUGACUCCCGCUGCGGACACGAAGGCACGGCCCCGGGAUCUGCAGCAACGGCCCUUCUCUUCGCCCUGUCCCCGCGACGUCCACCUGGGAGGUGCCGGAGCAAAACAGUGCUGGGAACGCGCUCGGCAAAUAACUUUAAAUAAUCCUGGACAGGCUGCCUCUGCACCAAAAUGCAUUUGCUUUGAUGUGCAGAACUUCACCGUCUGUAGGAAAUAUUUCUACGGAACCUGCCCGAUCCGUAACGCCCACGGCAGAGCGAUGCUUUGCUUCCGAGUUCCCCUCCUCCCGUUGUGCGAUGCAGUUCAGUGGGCUGGGCUCUGAGAAGCACCCGGACCUGGUGGUUUGCACCGAUAACAAAUUACGGGGUUAAAAAAGUUCCUGAGAAGCUGAAGGUCACAUUUUUUAAGUUAAUGCCCAUCGAGUUACCUUUCUUCUAAACAUGCAAAGUUGCAAAAUUCAAUGUAAAUAGACUCCUCCAGAAGAAGUAAGUACUCCAACUUAAGGAAAACCAAAUAUUGAACUCUUAAGGAAUAACAACAAAAAUAUUCAAAAACUCUUGACAUAUCUUCAAAGGAAAUUCCCUUUCUGUAUUACAGAAUUGCUUUUUAGAUCACCGUGCUGAAACUAGUAGUAUUGAAAAACGUUUCUAGCUGUCCCCUAAAGAAAGGAAAAGCAAUCCCUUUGCUCCCUCUAAGAUUUAGUAAAUUUAAAAAGCUCAGUGCUGAACUUCGCAAAACUGACUUUGGGUAGCUGAAGUUAGACUGGAUCACGCUGCCUUAAUUAAGUUAAUGUUCAAAGCAAAAGGCAGCAUUGAAAAUUUCACUCCUUAGAGAUAAAAUAUUUCCUGUUUUCAUUGCUACCAAGAACCAGGAGUCAGCUGGGGGCUGGAGGUCACGAACUGCCUUUAGGAGAGCAUCUCCCAGCAAAGAGCGUCUGGACGCACGCGGAAGCAAUCCCACGUACGCAGCUGAUUCACCGUUACACCUGCGGCCCGGCUCCUGCUGCAAGUGAGGAAAUCGAUCUCUCUGCUAAUAAGAAGGGAAAAGGCGGCGUUUCCAGAAUGAGACAGCGCUUUCCGGGUACAAGGGGAGCUGCAGGCUCUGAAACGCGGCUUUGCUAAAUUAAAAAAAAGUGGAAAACAUGGUUAUUUUUCUUACCGCUCACCUAAUUAAGCCUCUUUUGAACUGCCCUUCGUUAAGAGCUGUCAAAUGAAGAACUGUCAGUGCAGCGAUUGAGCUGGCCGGCGGUGGCUCGUGGCUCCCUGCCGGCACAGGCAACCACAGCCUGCUCCGGACCGCGUAGCACCGGGCCAGGCCUGACGACAUGCACGCGGUUACGGGGGUCUGACACCCGCGAAUCCGGUUGUGCUGCUCCAGCUGCUGCCCUUGGCCUUCAGGAAAGCUGCCCCGGCACCACGACGCGGACGGCACCGUGACGUGGACACCCCCAGCCGCGCUGCAGCGCAGGGCACGGCACUUCCCCAGGAAUCCCGCUGCUCCGGCAGCCGACGUCAGUCUGACCGGUGCUCGGCAGCUCCCAGCGUUGGCCAUGGCCGCGUCUCAUCCCUGCCAGCAGCCACACACCUCGCGUCCCGCUGGCAGCAGGACGGGCCCCCGUUGCCCUUGGUGCCCAGGAGCAGCCGUGUUGCUCACGUUAACAACCGCACCGCGCUUCCAGCUGCGGCGUCAGUGACCCGCGGGGCGAGGCCACGUGCGCCUGCCUCAGCCGGGGAGGGCCCGGGGAAGGGGCAGAGAGCAGGGGAUGCCAUCGCACAGCCGGACGCGGUGGUGGUGGCAGAGGGGCUCCUCCGUCACCCCCCGGCGAUGUCCCUGCAGAAGAAACCUCUGCCUCCCAAAGUGAUGUGCACGACGCAGGAGAAAGCUAUUUUCCUUCUCUGGGUCAGCAGACGGCACGGCUCCCUGCGCUAACAGGGAAGGAGCCCUCCGUUGUCACUGCAAAUUAUUUCCCUUUAAGUGCCAAGAUUCCUUAUUUAUUUGGCAGACAACCAAACACCCUCUGCGCAGCGCGCUGCUAAUGCACGCGGCUCCCGGCCUUGGCACCCGCGGGCGGCCGGGCCCCUCUCCCCCUUCACCUCCCUGGGGUGCUGCAGGGACGGCGCACUGGGCGCUGAGCUGGAGCUUUAGUGAAAAAAGUUGAAGAAUAAGAAGUGUCACUGUCGAUCCACCACCCCUCCUAGGCUCAUUCUCCUUAGAGGGACCCUUUUUUUUUUCUUCCAUAUGUGAAGAAUAAUUAAAAAAAAAAAAGUCCUCCCAGAGUAAUAGGUCGCGCAGGUAACAAUGUGAAGUGCUGGAAGCCGUAAGCAGGAGCCACGGCACAGCAAGUCGCCUCUGAAUCCCCCAGUCCUGGGCAUCCCAGCCGGAGUCCCGCUGCUCUCGCACCCCGGAGGAGGGGGAUGAGGGAUGGACCACCCAUAGCAGAGAAACUUCUUUGUGGGGCCAGUUUGUACGAGAACUGUGGAGCUUUCAUUUUGCGUGAAAAAGGGCAGGAGUUAAAGGGUCCCCAGGAGGCCCCUCGGUCCCCUGGUGUCACCGAGGGGCAGCUCCCGAGGAGCCCCGUGCCCACCACCCUCCCACAGCAUCGGAGCCCCUUCAGCUGCCACCCCCAUCCCCGCCACGCCAGCGAGGGCGAGCGGACGGACACCUGACGCAGCGGGGCAGGCAGGGACCCCAGCGCCCUCCCACCGCUCCCCUCCGCGGCGGCACGACAGAGGCCCACCGCCGGCCAACUGCUCCGCGUGGGGUGAGGGGGGGAACUGGAGCUCCCCGUGUACUCUGAGAGGAGCUGAUCAGCACCUGCGCCCUCAGCCCAGCUUAACCGGGAGGCAGGGAGCGUCGCCGCGGCCUCGCUCCCCUCGGCGGCAGGAAGGCGAAGAGCUGACCCCACUCGGUACCGCGCUCCCCGGGUCUGGAUGCCAGAGCAAGUGCGUCUUCCUGGGGAGAUACCAAGGGAACGCUAAGGCGCAGCUAAUUUUAGGAGGAAAUAGGUUUUUAAUUUGCUUCAAUUUCUCCUCAAAUUCCCCCUCGUCCAUAGCAGAGCAGGACGGCUGCCAAGGGCAGAGCAGCAGCUGAUCAGUAAACAGGACACCAAUUGGGGACACUAAAUCUUCUAAACCCUUCCCCGACAAAGGCAAAUGCCAGCGCGACCGCUCCCAUCUCACGCAAAAACGAUGGGGUUCCUCUCGUCGCUCACAAAUAGAGCCUCUGCUUAUAUUAAGUUUUGAAUAAAAAAUGAGCUCCCAUGUCAUUGUGCAACCGACCUUCUCGCGGCCGAGGAGAACAUUUUGUCCACCGGCUGCAGCUGGUACCGCGCUGUUUAUGGCUCUCCAUCCCUCCUGCGCUCCCGGGCUUCUGCGGCGGGGGGAGGCGUGCGGAGCUUUGCAGAAAUCCUCCCCCAUCUUUUUGCCACCUUUUUUUUUUUUUUUUUUUUUUUUUUAAGACAGCAAAGCAUGAAGUCAGAAACUAAACAUUUUGAUUGGGUUUCUGCCACGACUAAAGCAGCGAUAAGGAAUGCAGCUCGGCUGAAUCACGCUGGCUCCCAGCUUUAUUUUAGCGGCUGAAAAGAGAUUUUCCAGAGACCUUUUCAAUUUUGCGAGGACGUUUCUGGGCAAUUAAACGAUUCAUGAACUUUGCCCGGUCUUAAGAUACAAAACUCAUCCAAGGACACGAAACAGAGUCAGGUUUGAUAUGUAGGAGGACUGCAGAAAUCGAGUCUAUCUGAUCCCGAGUAUUAUAAAAACAAGGCCCAGGGAAUAGACUGGUGCUUUCAGUUUACUUAAUUAGUUUAUACACUGAAACUAAGAAUAAAAGGGCUGCGCAGUUGCCUUGGCUUUAGUAGUAACCCUGCAACCAUGACAACAGUAAAGCAUUACGGAAUCACCAUGACAAAGAACGGGAGAGGAGGGCUGCUGCCACAGAAGAGCCAACUUGGGCCCAUCAGAAAUUCAGCGUGCGCGGAAGAACACUUCCCGCGGUCCUUGCUUUACUUUAACGCGCGGGUUUUAGUGAAAAUAAGCAUUUCGGAAAGGGUUUUGGGCCUCUCGCAAGUGUCUGUGUUGUUUCAUUAACUGCUGGUAACAGCAAUAUCUUGCAAAGCCAGGAUGUGAUGCAGUUACUUCUUAAAAAAUAGAUCUGAAUAUUUGCAGGCCGGCGCUGCCCCUGCCUCCCUGCCUGCACCCUGCCUGCGCCUGCCUGGCCCCCGGCCUCCUGCCUGGCCCAGCCUCGCCGCGGCUCUCCGGCGCGCGCGCUGAGGGUUUUGUCUUCGGUCUGGUUAAAAAGGACACCGAAAAAAUUACACAUUUGCUCCUAACCCUUCCCUGCAGCUCACGCCCUCAUAAGAAACAGGCCCUGAGAUGAGUUUGCAACCGUGGGAUUAAAGUUUGGCACAGCUUCGGUGUGCUCCCCCCAUCCCACGCCAGCCCGUUUUCUUCUCUCGUGCCCGCUCCAAGCAGCGCCCCGGCUCGCGGAGCCCCCGGAUGCUCCUCCCGUGCAGAAGACUGUGUGGGGGGAAGGAGAAGGGGUGCUUAUGCUUUUCUGUCUGGCAACCACCAUCUCAGCCUGCCCCCGCCGCUCCUCGCCCUUCGCUGGGACCCUGCCCGGCGCUGCCCCUUCACAGCGGCCCGUCGUUCCUGCCGAUGCUCGUUUAUUAUCUUAGCCUGAACUCAUCUGAUACUUGGCACAGCAAAAGGUUCACCCAGAAAGGGGAAAGAAAGCAAAAGCAGCGCUGCCUGAAAGACAUGUAAUUGGUUCAUCUUCCCAAUAGAAACAGGGCCCCAAGCCUGCGAGCGCAGACGCUUGGGUCAAAGGAGGUGACUAAAAAGUGCCCCAGAGCUUACUAAAAAAGCGAUGGAGAGCGAAGCUUACCCCCGAGAUGGUGCUUCUCAUGGGGCAGGCGGUGGGACCGCCGAGUUCUUUCUAAUUUAGCUGGAGCUGGGCAUGGGAAACCUGUUAAUAGUGUCAGUUCAAACCAGAAUAGAGUGUUCGGGGUUUGCUUUUCCAGCAACCACAUUUUCCCAUUGAGGAACCAUCCAGGCAGGUAAUAUUUGAACAAUUUUGUCUGCUUUUAUAAUAAUAGACGUUAAAAAACAGCAAAGAAUAACGGAAGGAAAGAACACGAAGAAGUCUCCAAGUGCUUAACUCUACAAGAUGUGUGUCCCUUUACUUAUCUUCACUGGUCAGUAAACAGAAAUAUUUUUCUUUGGGCACUGCUAAUUGCCAUCUUUCUCAUACAUCAUAUCUCAGCGAUGAAUAUUCAUCAGAAAAAAAAUAUAUGGAAAUACAUUCCUGGAAUCCUGCUGCAAGAGCAAACGCAAUGCCGCCAGUAAUUUUUAGGUUGGUCGUUACUUCGCACCGGCGAGAGCAAAACCACCGGGAUUGUCUGAACAAGGCGGACGUGUCGGGAGAAGUGCGUCGUCCUCCCGGCCGCCUGCCACCUCCUCCUGUCCCCGCUCCCCCCAGCGUUACGAGAUGGCAUUGGACACAAAAAUCCGGGUUCAUUCUGCCACCAAUAGGCAGGCGCAGCAACGCUGAGCUUCACUGGCUCCUAUUUGUGGUUGGUUGUUUUUUUUUUUUUUAAACCGAUACACACUUUGAUUUAAAAAGGACAACAAAACCAGGUUACCUUCUAAAGUAACCCCCCAAAUGUAAGGUUUAAGGCUGCAAAGCCCCUGUGCACGCCUCUCCCCAAAAGCACUCGCCACAUCUGCCGCUGCCAGCAGCCGACCGGCAGAUCCAGCAGCCUUGGCCGGCCGAGCGCUCACAUGCAAUUAGCAAAUAUUUGAGAAUUAUUUUGCUCUGUUUGAUGUUUUUAACUGACUCCCAAUUUCCAUGACCAUGUUAACAGCCCCUGGCAUCCUUGUUAAACAUCUAACAGCCUCAAACAUCUUCAUAAACCCCCAGCAUCAAAUCAGCGUCUCACCAAAUUUAUUCCUCCCUUCCAGAAAUUCUCCUGCUCGGAGCACUAAUGCACUGAGAAACUGAAGACAGAAAAUAAACCAUUUAAAUAUGCUCUUAAGUCUCACAGAAACUGCACAAAUCAAGAGGGGAUUUGAAACCUUUUCAAUUUCCCCCCCCACCCCAAAUCAGUAGCUACUAAAAUACUUCGCUCCUUCAAGUCCCUGUUGGAGGAAACUAAGCUCCAUCUCUAACAUUUGCAAUUAUUUCCUUUUAUUGCCACAAAAAUAUUUUUUGUCAAAUUAAAAUGUCCAUCUUUCCGAAAAAUGCACAGCUGUUCCACUACAUCAAGCAUUUUUACUUAUUGCUUCAAUAAUAACAAGAGGAAAAAGCAGAAUCCUUCCAUAAACUGAAAUGCUGUUUGUAACAGUCGCUGCCCCGGUUGCUCCCCAGCUCGUACAGCCCCCCCUUUCCUAAGCAAUGCCCAAGCUCCCCCCCUUGCGCGUGGCUUUGGGUUGUGCUGGCAGACCGGACACGUAGGGCUUUGAUGGACAGAAGUAGCCCGAGAGCACGGAAAUAAGUUUAAGAACCUUCAGCCUGUUUCCCAAACUCUCGUUCUCGGUCCAUUGUAGAAAAGUGCACAAAACACGAGGGCACCACUCAGCACAUCCGAGUGGAGACAAGCUACGGUCCAAGUCGCUCUGUCUCCCCUAAAUACUGGGGAUCAUUUUGGUACUCUGCAUUUUAUGAGAAGAUCUCAGCAGCAUCUGACAGCUCAACCUCCGCGUUCUUCUGGAUUCCUCUGUCAGAGCAUAGAAGUUGGCGUCCGACCGUACCUGGACUGGUUAGUUUUGGGGAAGCCUCGGUUCCCCAGCCAUUCAGCCCCCAAAGCCGGGCUGUCGGGGGGGGUUGGAGCCCCCAAAGCUGGGCUGUUGGGGGGGUGGUUGGAGCCAUCAUUUUGUCUCAGCUAAGAGCUAGGAAAGCAUCGCAUUCAGCGUCUUUGUAACUGAGGUUGUACAGCAGCGGGGCUGCCCGUUGGUACGCUCACAAAGGCUUUACUAACUAGCUAUUCCUCUGGCAGUUGUGGAACCCUGAGGGGUAGCUGCUAACUCAAACUGCCUUUCCUGGAGCACUACGCCCUGAUUAACAGAUCACAGAAAAUCCUGAAGCCGAGACCCUACCCAAGGAUAUCCCCAAGGAUAGUCCGAAUAUCUAAAGAUACCCCAUAUCAAUAACCCAGAAAAUCUUCAUUGACAAUUAUCCCAAGACUCCAGUUGCUUUGCACCCACGUCUUGGGGAUGGAAGAAAUCAAGACAACAACCUCUGGGAGUGGUCUACAAUUUAGCUAAAGACAAGUUGGUUUCUAUCUUAGUCUUGUACAACUCCCUCUCAACCUUGUAUCUACGCUGUCAAUAGCUAGAUUGCAAUAAACUGGUUAUUUUUUCCUUAAACGCUUGGUUUAUAUGCAAAGUAAUUUUGGAAUAACCAGCCAACACCAAGGAGUCCCAUUCUUAUGGCCAUGCUCACGGUCAAACUGAACAUGCCAGAUUGCUUUCACAGCACCUAGCACUCAAACCGGAAGGUUUAUUUUUUUUAAAAGAGGUGGUUUUUCAGGAGGUGGCACAGGCCCGUAAGAACUGCAGAGACUCACAGGUAGCAGGGGAGAAUGUUUUUCAGGGCUCAGCGUUAGUUGAUGACAUCCCGAGAGGCCGCGGCGUUGGCGGGGACCCUCCUGGGCUUCCUGUGAACUCCGGCCAAGCAGCAAAGGCAACGGCAGCACUACAAGGGGCGAGCUCCGAGGUGAGGUUUUAAGUGACACCAUCUAGGAACGCCGCAAUAGCUUCAGCACAUAGUUAAUCAUUUUAGGAUGGCAAAUACAUACGAGAUGUUCAGCAGAGACGGUGAGGCUGCCGGCGGCUCCGAGCAGGCAAAUGGAGCUGGAGACAUUACCGAUGCCUUGAAAUAUUCAUGGGUGCAACGAAGAGAGGUGCUCCAGGUGCCCCCAGCUCAGCACUGCUGUUCCAGCCAGCCGCAGGCACAAGACGGACUCAGCUAGUACGUCUCAUCACCUCAGUAAAGAAGUCAAUGUGCACGUCAAAAAAAGGAGCCGAAAGCAAUUCCCCCCCAACAGCCCAAGGAGCAAACCCAACGGGCUCCAUCACGGAAAGGCCAGGGGCUUGCUGGCGCGGGGCUGCCCACCCACGGGUCCCAUCCCCAGUCCCCGCCGGGCGCUGCCCAACAGCCGCGGAGCUCAGGGCAGGUAUAACCUGGAACAGGGAUGUCCGGCCUCUGUGGGAGAAAACGUGUCAGCACCUUGAUGGGAGCAGGGGCUGAGCAUUGCCUUUCAGAGCAGUUAAAGCUCAAGUCUUCGUACUCUUCACUCUUACGUGCUGUGUUAAACCUUGUCAUGGUCAUACUCACCUGCCUGGGCUUUUCAUUAUGGCCAGCAGAAAACAUUUUUGAUUAAAUUCUAAACCGUAACAUUAGCUCGGCAUCGCGUCGAGAGGAGAACAUUUGCUAUUGCUCUGCAAGGAGAGCGAAACUGGAGACAGCAGGUAGGGAGGAAAAGCACCAAAGCCCAGCUCUUCCUCCACAGAGGAUCCUGGUCAGCGGUUCCUACCGGAGGAGCCCAAGGACCCUUAGCACCUCUUAGGGCUUUUUCAAACUGCAAUGCAAGGAGUAAAUACGUGGGCUGUACCCCAAAAUGCAGCAGCCUUUUGCAGAAGAGAUUAUCUAAAGCUAGGCAGACUUGGCAGAGGAGCAACCACCGGUCAGGGUUUGCCACAAUCUCCACUCCUGAUCUUCAAUCCUGAUACUAAUCCUUAUAUUUAAUCUGAACAUUAAUAGAUUAUUUUUAAACUACUUAUGUGGAGAGAGGCCUGUUGGCUUCCUGGGGCCAUGGAGGAGCCCAAGGGUCUGCAGGA